AGCGAACGCUGGCGGCAGGCCUAACACAUGCAAGUCGAACGAACCUUUCGGGGUUAGUGGCGGACGGGUGAGUAACACGUGGGAACGUGCCGUUAGGUUCGGAAUAACUCAGGGACACUUGUGCUAAUACCGAAUGUGCCCUUCGGGGGAAAGAUUUAUCGCCUUUAGAGCGGCCCGCGUCGGAUUAACUAGUUGGUUGAGGUAAUGGCUCACCAAGGCGACGAUCAGUAGCUGGUCUGAGAGGAUGAUCAGCGACAUUGGGACUGAGACACGGCCCAAACUCCUACGGGAGGCAGCAGUGGGGAAUCUUGCGCAAUGGGCUAAAGCCUGACGCAGCCAUGCCGCGUGAAUGAUGAAGGUCUUAGGAUUGUAAAAUUCUUUCACCGGGGACGAUAAUGACGGUACCCGGAGAAGAAGCCCCGGCUAACUUCGUG
rnacentral:rRNA from 1 species